AGAGUUUGAUCCUGGCUCAGGACGAACGCUGGCGGCGUGCCUAAUGCAUGCAAGUCGAGCGACGCAUACGGGGCUUGCCCUGUAUGACGGAGCGGCGAACGGGUGAGUAACACGUGAGCAACCUGCCCCGAAGACCGGGAUAGCCCGAGGAAACUCGGAUUAAUACCGGAUACCUUCACACCUUCGCAUGGAGGAGUGAAGAAAGGCCUUUGUGCUUCGGGAUGGGCUCGCGACCUAUCAGCUAGUUGGUGAGGUAACAGCUCACCAAGGCAUCGACGGGUAGCUGGUCUGAGAGGACGAUCAGCCACACUGGAACUGAGACACGGUCCAGACUCCUACGGGAGGCAGCAGCAGGGAAUAUCGCACAAUGGGCGCAAGCCUGAUGCAGCAACGCCGCGUGAGGGAUGAAGGCCUUCGGGUUGUAAACCUCUUUCAGGAGGGAAGAAAUUGACGGUACCUCCAAAAGAAGCCCCGGCUAACUACGUGCCAGCAGCCGCGGUAAUACGUAGGGGGCGAGCGUUGUCCGGAUUUAUUGGGCGUAAAGGGCUCGUAGGCGGUUCAGUAAGUCGGCGGUGAAAGUCCGGGGCUCAACCCCGGAAAUGCCGUCGAUACUGCUGUGACUAGAAUCAGGUAGAGGAGAAUGGAAUUCCCGGUGUAGCGGUGGAAUGCGCAGAUAUCGGGAGGAACACCAGUAGCGAAGGCGGUUCUCUGGGCCUGUAUUGACGCUGAGGAGCGAAAGCGUGGGGAGCAAACAGGAUUAGAUACCCUGGUAGUCCACGCCGUAAACGUUGGGUACUAGGUGUGGCGAUCCGUCUAACGAUUGCCGUGCCGAAGCUAACGCAUUAAGUACCCCGCCUGGGGAGUACGGCCGCAAGGCUAAAACUCAAAGGAAUUGACGGGUCCCCGCACAGCGGCGGAACAUGCGGCUUAAUUCGAUGCAACCC
rnacentral:rRNA from 1 species